rfam:Schistosoma margrebowiei strain Zambia genome assembly, scaffold: SMRZ_scaffold0000794
AUCCAGCUGACGUGUUCAAGAUAAAACGAAACGUUCGUCCUGGAU